rnacentral:rRNA from 1 species
GACGAACGCUGGCGGCGUGCCUAAUACAUGCAAGUAGGACGCAGUUGCGAACGGGUGAGUAACGCGUAGGUAACUGCCUAUUAGAGGGGGAUAACUAUUGGAAACGAUAGCUAAUACCGCAUACUAGUAGAUGGACCUGCGUUGUAUUAGCUAGUAGGUAGGGUAAUGGCCUACCUAGGCAACGAUACAUAGCCGACCUGAGGAGGAUGUCGGGCAAACUGGGACUGAGACACGGCCCAGGAUCCUGCGGGAGGCAGCAGUAGGGAAUCUUCGGAAAUGGGGGGAACCCUGACCGAGCAACGCCGCGUGGGUGAAGAAGGUUUUCGGAUCGUAAAGCUCUGUUGUUAAGGAAGCGGUACUUAACCAGAAAGGGACGGCUAACUACGUGCCAGCCGCCGCGGUAAUUC